rnacentral:rRNA from 1 species
GAUGAACGCUGGCGGCGUGCCUAAUACAUGCAAGUCGAGCGAACAGACGAGGAGCUUGCUCCUUCGACGUUAGCGGCGGACGGGUGAGUAACACGUAGGUAACCAACAUAUAAGACUGGGAUAACUUCGGGAAACCGGAGCUAAUACCGGAUAAUAUUUCGAACCGCAUGGUUCGAUAGUGAAAGAUGGCUUUGCUAUCACUUAUAGAUGGACCUGCGCCGUAUUAGCUAGUUGGUAAGGUAACGGCUUACCAAGGCAACGAUACGUAGCCGACCUGAGAGGGUGAUCGGCCACACGGGAACUGAGACACGGUCCAGACUCCUACGGGAGGCAGCAGUAGGGAAUCUUCCGCAAUGGGCGAAAGCCUGACGGAGCAACGCCGCGUGAGUGAUGAAGGUCUUCGGAUCGUAAAACUCUGUUAUUAGGGAAGAACAAACGUGUAAGUAACUGUGCACGUCUUGACGGUACCUAAUCAGAAAGCCACGGCUAACUACGUG